rnacentral:miRNA from 1 species
UGAUCAUCCGUACAUUCGUACAUGCAAAUAAAAUCGAGUUAUGUAUAGCCGAGCGACAACUCGAUUUUAUUUGCAUGUACGAAUGUACGGAUGAUCAGAUUUAUG